rnacentral:rRNA from 1 species
CAUGCAAGUCGAACGAGCGAGAGGAGGUUUACUUUCUCAAGCGAGUGGCGAACGGGUGAGUAACGCGUGAGGAACCUGCCUCAAAGAGGGGGACAACAGUUGGAAACGACUGCUAAUACCGCAUAAGCCCACGACCCGGCAUCGGGUAGAGGGAAAAGGAGCAAUCCGCUUUGAGAUGGCCUCGCGUCCGAUUAGCUGGUUGGUGAGGUAACGGCCCACCAAGGCGACGAUCGGUAGCCGGACUGAGAGGUUGAACGGCCACAUUGGGACUGAGACACGGCCCAGACUCCUACGGGAGGCAGCAGUGGGGAAUAUUGCACAAUGGGGGAAACCCUGAUGCAGCGACGCCGCGUGGAGGAAGAAGGUCUUCGGAUUGUAAACUCCUGUUGUUGAGGAAGAUAAUGACGGUACUCAACAAGAAAGUGACGGCUGACUACGUGCCAGCAGCCGCGGUAAAACGUAGGUCACAAGCGUUGUCCGGAAUUACUGGGUGUAAAGGGAGCGCAGGCGGGAAGACAAGUUGGAAGUGAAAUCCAUGGGCUCAACCCAUGAACUGCUUUCAAAACUGUUUUUCUUGAGUAGUGCAGAGGUAGGCGGAAUUCCCGGUGUAGCGGUGGAAUGCGUAGAUAUCGGGAGGAACACCAGUGGCGAAGGCGGCCUACUGGGCACCGACUGACGCUGAGGCUCGAAAGUGUGGGUAGCAAACAGGAUUAGAUACCCUGGUAGUCCACACUGUAAACGAUGAUUACUAGGUGUUGGAGGAUUGACCCCUUCAGUGCCGCAGUUAACACAAUAAGUAAUCCACCUGGGGAGUACGACCGCAAGGUUGAAACUCAAAGGAAUUGACGGGGGCCCGCA